rnacentral:rRNA from 1 species
CCUACGGGGGGCUGCAGUGGGGAAUUUUGGACAAUGGGCGCAAGCCUGAUCCAGCCAUGCCGCGUGAGUGAAGAAGGCCUUCGGGUUGUAAAGCUCUUUCGGCGGGGAAGAAAUUGCACUGGCUAAUACCUGGUGUAGAUGACGGUACCCGCAUAAGAAGCACCGGCUAACUACGUGCCAGCAGCCGCGGUAAUACGUAGGGAACGAGGGGUAAUCGGAAUUACUGGGCGUAAUGCGUGAGCCAGAUGUUAAAUCCCCGGGCUCAACCUGGGAACUGCAUUUGAGACUGCACGGCUAGAGGAUGGCAGAGGGGGGUAGAAUUCCACGUGUAGCAGUGAAAUGCGUAGAGAUGUGGAGGAAUACCGAUGGCGAAGGCAGCCCCCUGGGCUAUUUCUGACACUCAUGCACGAAAGCGUGGGGAGCAAACAGGAUUAGAUACCCCAGUAGUC